rnacentral:sRNA from 1 species
GCUAGGUGUGGUGGUGCACACCUGUAAUCCCAGCUACUCAGGAGUCUGAGGCAGGAGGAUCACAAGUUCAAGACCAGACUGGACAACUUAACAAGACCCUGUCUCAA